rnacentral:rRNA from 1 species
UACGUAGGGGGCAAGCGUUGUCCGGAAUUAUUGGGCGUAAAGAGCGUGUAGGCGGUCCGGUAAGUCCGCUGUGAAAGUCCAGGGCUCAACCCUGGAAUGCCGGUGGAUACUGCCGGGCUAGAGUCCGGAAGAGGCGAGUGGAAUUCCUGGUGUAGCGGUGAAAUGCGCAGAUAUCAGGAGGAACACCGGUGGUGUAGACGGCUCUCUGGACCGCCACUGACGCUGAGACACGAAAGCGUGGGUAGCAAACAGG